UGCAGCACACUCACCUGGCAGAAUACU
rnacentral:misc_RNA from 1 species